rnacentral:tRNA from 1 species
GCGGGAAUAGCUCAGCUGGCUAGAGCAUCAGUUUUCCAAACUGAGGGUCGCGGGUUCAAAUCCCGUUUCCCGCU